AUUCCAUUAUUAUCAAGAAAAAAG
rnacentral:miRNA from 1 species